rnacentral:rRNA from 1 species
CAGUAGCCACGGUAAAACGAAGGGUGCAAGCGUUAAUCGGAAUUACUGGGCGUAAAGCGUGCGCAGGCGGUUUGUUAAGACAGAUGUGAAAUCCCUGGGCUCAACCUGGGAACUGCAUUUGUGACUGGCAGGCUAGAGCAUGGCAGAGGGGGGUGGAAUUCCGCGUGUAGCAGUGAAAUGCGUAGAUAUGCGGAGGAACACCGAUGGCGAAGGCAGCCCCCUGGGCCAAUACUGACGCUCAUGCACGAAAGCGUGGGGAUCAAACAGGAUUAGAUACCCGGGUAGUCCCUGUCUCUUAUAC